AGAGUUUGAUUCUGGCUCAGGAUUAACGCUGGCGGCAUGCCUAAUACAUGCAAGUCGAAUGGUUAGCUUGCUAACCAUGGCGAACGGGUGAGUAACACGUAGGUAACCUGUCUUCAAGACGAGGAUAACCAUUGGAAACGAUGGAUAAUACUGGAUAGGACAAAUCCCCGCAUGAGGAGAUGUUUAAAGGAGCAAUCCACUUGAUGAGGGGCCUGCGGUGCAUUAGCUAGUUGGUGAGGUAAAGGCCCACCAAGGCGAUGAUGCAUAGCCGGACUGAGAGGUUGAACGGCCACAAUGGAACUGAGAACGGUCCAUACUCCUACGGGAGGCAGCAGUAGGGAAUUUUCGGCAAUGGGCGGAAGCCUGACCGAAGCAAUGCCGCGUGAACGAUGAAGUAUUUCGGUAUGUAAAGUUCUUUUAUUUGGGAAGAAAAAACAAAUUGACGGUACCAAAUGAAUAAGCUCCGGCUAACUACGUGCCAGCAGCAGC
rnacentral:rRNA from 1 species